rnacentral:rRNA from 1 species
ACGGGUGAGUAACGCGUGGGCGACCUACCCUCGAGUGGGGGAUAACCUUCCGAAAGGAGGGCUAAUACCGCAUGACAUCCCGUGUUUGGAUACACGGAGAUCAAAGCCGGGGAUCGCAAGACCUGGCGCUUGAAGAGGGGCCCGCGUCCGAUUAGCUAGUUGGCGAGGUAACGGCUCACCAAGGCUCCGAUCGGUAUCCGGCCUGAGAGGGCGGACGGACACACUGGAACUGAGACACGGUCCAGACUCCUACGGGAGGCAGCAGUGGGGAAUUGUUCGCAAUGGGCGCAAGCCUGACGACGCAACGCCGCGUGGAGGAUGAAGACCUUCGGGUCGUAAACUCCUUUCGACCGAGAUGAAGAGGCGCCGACCUAACACGUCGGCGUCCUGACAGUAUCGAGGGAAGCAGCCCCGGCUAACUCCGUGCCAGCAGCCGCGG